rnacentral:lncRNA from 1 species
UCCUGAGGAGAAAAGGGCUUACACCACAACAACUGUUGCAAGUGGAGGAAGAUCCUCCCUGUUAUGAAUGUUCCAUACAUUUUCUCGAGCCAAACAGAUAUUGCUGUGUAUGCACUUCCUUCCCAAAUCCUGCAAAACCAUCAACAUAAAAGCUAAGUGGAUGUCAUUGGAAGAAAAACAAUUUUAAAUUUCAUACAGCAACUGUGAAUAUCCACAGGCCAUAAAAGCUUGCUUCUAAGGAAAAUUUCAGGGAAAUGCCCUCUCUUUGUUGCUCCACCAAGAACUCUUACAGCCCUUCUUUCUGACCGAGCCACCAUAGUGUUUCUAGAAGCGCAUUAUAAAACCUCAUUCCCAAGCCACACCCUUCAGCAUUAAGUUU